AAUGAACGCUGGCGGCGUGGAUUAGGCAUGCAAGUCGAACGCGAAAGUUCCCUUCGGGGAGCGAGUAGAGUGGCGAAAGGGUGAGUAAUGCUUGGAUGACCUGCCCUCGAGACGGGGACAACAGUUCGAAAGGACUGCUAAUACCCGAUAGUCCGGUUUAGAUGCGUCUAGAUCGGUAAAUGGUGCUUCCGCUCGAGGAGGGGUUCAAGUCCUAUCAGCUUGUUGGUGAGGUAACGGCUCACCAAGGCGAUGACGGGUAGCCGGACUGAGAGGUUGGCCGGCCACAUGGGAACUGAGACACUGUCCUGACUCCUACGGGAGGCUGCAGUCGAGAAUCUUCUGCAAUGGGCGAAAGCCUGAUCCAGCAAUGCCGCGUGUGUGAAGAAGGCCUGAGGGUUGUAAAGCACUUUCAAUCGUGAAGAAAAGUUGCAGGCUAAUACCCUGUGACCUUGACGUUAACGAUACAAGAAGCACCGGCUAACUCCGUGCCA
rnacentral:rRNA from 1 species